UAGAGAAAGCUCCACCUGUGCAGGUGUUGUAGUAGCCAUAGUGAAAGCUCCACCUAUGCAGGUGUUCUAGUAUCUGUAGAGAAAGCUCCAACUGUGCAGGUGUUGUAGAAGCCAUAGAGAAAGCUCCACCUGUGCAGGUGUUGUAGUAGCCGUAGAGAAAGCUCCACCUGUGCAGGUGUUCUAGUAUCCAUAGAGAAAACUCCACCUGUGCAGGUGUUCUAGUAUCCACAGAGAAAUCUCCACCUGUGCAGGUGUUGUAGUAGCCGUAGAGAAAGCUCCACCUGUGCAGGUGUUCUAGUAUCCAUAGAGAAAGCUCCACCUGUGCAGGUGUUCUAGUAUCCACAGAGAAAUCUCCACCUGUGCACGUGUUGUAGUAGCCGUAAAGAAAGCUCCACCUGUGCAGGUGUUCCAGUAUCCGUAGAGAAAACUCCACCUGUGCAGGUGUUCUAGUAUCCACAGAGAAAUCUCCACCUGUGCAGGUGUUGUAGUAGCCGUAGAGAAAGCUCCACCUGUGCAGGUGUUCUAGUAUCUGUAGAGAAAGCUCCAACUGUGCAGGUGUUCUAGUUUCUGUAGAGAAAGCUGUGCAGGUGUUCUAGUAUCCGUAGAGAAAGCUCCAUCUGUGCAGGUGUUCUAGUAUCUGUAGAGAAAGCUCCACCUGUGCAGGUGUUCUAGUAUCCAUAGAGAAAACUCCACCUGUGCAGGUGUUCUAGUAUCCACAGAGAAAUCUCCACCUGUGCAGGUGUUCUAGUAUCCACAGAGAAAUCUCCACCUGUGCAGCUGUUGUAGUAGCCGUAGAGAAAGCUCCACCUGUGCAGGUGUUCUAGUAUCCAUAGAGAAAACUCCACCUGUGCAGGUGUUCUAGUAUCCACAGAGAAAUCUCCACCUGUGCAGGUGUUGUAGUAGCCGUAGAGAAAGCUCCACCUGUGCAGGUGUUGUAGUAGCUGUAGAGAAAGCUCCACUUGUGCAAGUGUUCUAGUAUCCAUAGAGAAAACUCCACCUGUGCAGGUGUUCUAGUAUCCCUGGCGAAAUCUCCACCUGUGCAGGUGUUGUAGUAGCCAUAGUGAAAGCUCCACCUAUGCAGGUGUUCUAGUAUCUGUAGAGAAAGCUCCAACUGUGCAGGUGUUGUAGAAGCCAUAGAGAAAGCUCCACCUGUGCAGGUGUUCUAGUAUCUGUAGAGAAAGCUCCAACUGUGCAGGUGUUGUAGAAGCCAUAGAGAAAGCUCCACCUGUGCAGGUGUUCUAGUAUCUGUAGAGAAAGCUGUGCAGGUGUUCUAGUAUCCGUAGAGAAAGCUCCACCUGUGCAGGUGUUCUAGUAGCCAUAUAGAGAAAGCUCCACCUGUGCAGGUGUUCUAGUAUCUGUAGAGAAAGCUCCACCUUUGCAGGUGUUCUAGUAGCCGUAAAGAAAGCUCCACCUGUGCAGGUGUUCUAGUAUCCAUAGAGAAAACUCCAC